rnacentral:rRNA from 1 species
UUGUGCUAGCGAUUGGAAAUGCUAGUCUAAGCGUUUAGGAAGUUACAGUAGGCAAAUCCGCUGUAACAAUUCUGAGGCGUGAUGGGGAAGGUCAUUAAGACCGAAGUACAUGAUUCCAUGCUUCCAAGAAAAGCAUCUAGAGAGAGAAGUAGUGCCCGUACCGCAAACCGACACAGGUAGAUGAGGAGAGAAUCCUAAGGCCGGCGGAAGAAUUGCAGUUAAGGAACUAGGCAAAUUGACCCCGUAAGUUCGCGAGAAGGGGUGCCUGCGAGAGCAGGCCGCAGAGAAUAGGCCCAAGCAACUGUUUAGCAAAAACACAGGUCUCUGCUAAAGCGUAAGCUGAUGUAUAGGGGCUGACGCCUGCCCGGUGCUGGAAGGUUAAGGGGAACACUUAGCGCAAGCGAAGGUGUGAACUUAAGCCCCAGUAAACGGCGGCCGUAACAAUAACGGUCCUAAGGUAGCGAAAUUCCAUGUCAGGUAAGUUCUGACCCGCACGAAUGGCGUAAUGACUUGGGCACUGUCUCAACUGCAAAUCCGGCGAAGUUGUAGUGCGAGUGAAGAUGCUCGCUACCCGCGAUUGGACGAAAAGACCCCGUAGAGCUUUACUGUAGCUUAGCAUUGAAUUCCGGUAUUGUCUGUACAGGAUAGGUGGGAGACUGGGAAACUAGGGCGUCAGCCUUAGUGGAGUCAACCUUGGGAUACCACCCUGACAGUACUGGGGUUCUAACAGGACGCCAUGAAACUGGUGACUGGACAUUGUUAGGUGGGCAGUUUGACUGGGGCGGUCGCCUCCUAAAAAGUAACGGAGGCGCCCAAAGGUUCCCUCAGAACGGUCGGAAAUCGUUCGUAGAGUGCAAAGGCAGAAGGGAGCCUGACUGCGAGACCUACAAGUCGAGCAGGGACGAAAGUCGGGCUUAGUGAUCCGGUGGUACCUCGUGGGAGGGCCAUCGCUCAACGGAUAAAAGCUACCUCGGGGAUAACAGGCUGAUCUCCCCCAAGAGUCCACAUCGACGGGGAGGUUUGGCACCUCGAUGUCGGCUCGUCGCAUCCUGGGGCUGUAGUAGGUCCCAAGGGUUGGGCUGUUCGCCCAUUAAAGCGGCACGCGAGCUGGGUUCAGAACGUCGUGAGACAGUUCGGUCCCUAUCCGUCGCGGGCGUAGGAAAUUUGAGAGGAGCUGUCCUUAGUACGAGAGGACCGGGAUGGACUGACCUCUGGUGCACCAGUUGUUCUGCCAAGAGCAUGGCUGGGUAGCUAAGUCGGGAAGGGAUAAACGCUGAAAGCAUCUAAGCGUGAAGCCCCCCUCAAGAUGAGAUUUCCCAUAGCAUAAGCUAGUAAGACCCCAUGAAGAACACAAGGUUGAUAGGUCAGAGGUGGAAGUGCGGUAACGUAUGUAGCUGACUGAUACUAAUAGGUCGAGGGCUUGACCG